rnacentral:misc_RNA from 1 species
CAGAGUUCGUGCCCUCACGGGUAGAUCUCCCACCCUGUGUUAUUAUACCUUUGUUGCUUUGGCGGGCCGCCCUCGGCUACCGGCCCCGGCUGGUACGCGCCCGCCAGAGGACCCCAAACUCUUAGUUAUUAUUGUCGUCUGAGUACUAUAAAAUAGUUA